CCUACGGGGCGCUGCAGUGGGGAAUAUUGGACAAUGGGCGAAAGCCUGAUCCAGCCAUGCCGCGUGUGUGAAGAAGGCCUUCGGGUUGUAAAGCACUUUCAGUGGGGAAGAAAGCCUUGGGGCUAAUACCCUCGAGGAAGGACAUCACCCACAGAAGAAGCACCGGCUAACUCCGUGCCAGCAGCCGCGGUAAUACGGAGGGUGCGAGCGUUAAUCGGAAUUACUGGGCGUAAAGCGCGCGUAGGCGGUCUGAUAAGCCGGUUGUGAAAGCCCCGGGCUCAACCUGGGAAUGGCAUCCGGAACUGUCAGGCUAGAGUGCAGGAGAGGAAGGUAGAAUUCCCGGUGUAGCGGUGAAAUGCGUAGAGAUCGGGAGGAAUACCAGUGGCGAAGGCGGCCUUCUGGACUGACACUGACGCUGAGGUGCGAAAGCGUGGGUAGCAAACAGGAUUAGAUACCCUUGUAGUC
rnacentral:rRNA from 1 species